rnacentral:tRNA from 1 species
GCCGAAGUGGCGUAAUGGCAGCGCGGCUGACUCGUAAUCAGCAGGUUGGGGGUUCAAUUCCCCCCUUCGGCU